CCAAGGAUAUAUCAUAUAUUAUUUGCCCAGUUUCUUAAUACAGCGACCCAGAAAUUCUUGGUGUAAUGGCUGCAACGAGUGACCAAGAAAUUGAUUCUCUUCUCUCUAGUUUCGAUCAGAUAUACGAGGUGAUUUCUCGCCUAAUUUUCCAUUCGCUGUUUGUUUGCUGAAAAAAAUGACGGGAAAGCGAAAAGAAAGUGAAGCGUUAUUUUUUGGUCUCUUAAACAAACUGAGAAGCUUAGGUUUAACGUCAUUCGAUUAGAACCGAGAUGGAGAGAGAUAUGACAUAAUCUUUCGAAGGAAUCUGUUGAAUGGCGUUUCAUAACUUUAAGAAAUUCGACUCGAUUAAAUUUUGAACAAACUAUUAGCGGACUUCAUUUUUCUCGUUGACCAAACGGGGGUUUUCGCUAUUAGUUUCGUAGGGGAAAAAUUAAACUAAAAUAAGGUUUCACAGGAUUUCAAGAGUGGAAUAACGGAAAUCCAAUCGCUGAGAUCAAAUUGGAGUGCAGAAGUCAAGAAGAGAGAGGCUCUUGAAGUCACUUGCCGAAGUUUGAAACAUGAAAAUGAGCGGCUGACAAAACUGUACACAGAAUCUUUAGAUAAUAUAGCUGAUCAGGUGUGCAAUUUUCGUUACACAAGGUAAACUUGGGUACUGCUAUUCUGAUUUUCCUUUGUUCUGUUGCUCAAUUUUCGUUGAUUUUAUGAGAUACAGCUUGAGUGUCGGAUCAAAUGUCAAAGCCUGAAGGAGGAGUUGAAACGACUCAGUGAUGAGAAUCUCAAAAAAGAAGAGGUAAGUUAAUUUCUUACUUUAUUUUCCAUUACAAUAAAGUGGUGAAAUAGUUAGUUAUUAUUUCUAGUUUGAUAUUUUCCUAUAGACACUGGAGUAAUUUCAAGGGACAUAUUAAGUUCCUAGAUUGAUUUAUUGUUGAAGAAUCUGAAUUUCAAGUAACUGUGUAUACACUUUUGCACUUUAAAUGUGGGUAUCUAGAGAAAUUAUAUUAUUUCAUGUAGGGCAGCUUACAUGUAAUGACAAACUAAUACUGAAUAAACAUAUAUAUAUAUACAGUGGGUCUCAAAAAAUUAUAACUACCAGUAAUUAUUUUUUUUUUUAAAUUUUCAACUCAACUCACAAGGUGCGACAAAAUUUGUACGCUGUUUAUCACAUACCGCAACACUUCUCCUUUAUCCGGGCUUUAUACCGACUAAGCGCAAAUUACUUAGGCGGAGUUACACAUACACACACAUGUAUAUAUAUAAUUUUGGCAAUUAAGGUUAUAGCGCCUUACUUCAAAAAGGGCCUCGCUUCGCCUAUCGCCUAGGGCCAUAAGGUGCUCUGUCGCCAUGUUUCACCGUAUCUUCAUGGUGCAUUAUCAUUGUAGGCUCUAUCAAUACACCUUGUCAAAUUCUUUAUUCUACAUUAAAUGUAAUGUCAAAUGUGAAACGCCAAAAAUGAAAACUUUGAAAUAUUAGCUAGGCUUGGGGUAUCUAGAUGAUCUACGAUAGGAAGUCAAAAGUUUGACUUGAUGAGCCUCAUGGCUUUUGAGGUUGUGGCUGUCACCCAAAAGCUGUUGGACAUCUUUGCUUGGUAAGGACAAUUUGGCAGGGAUAAACUUUCGCCAAGGCUGAAAAGAUUUAUUGUUGCAUUAUGUAAUAUUUGAAUGGAGUAAUUUAAUUAUGAAGUUUGUUCUCAACUCAGUUUUCUACAAUUUGAGGCACAUAAACAUUCUUUCAGAAUGAUGUUUCCUAUUCUAAUUGUAAUUACUACAUAGAAUACUGCUCUUCAAAAAACUCAUUAUUUAUUGUAAUUGUGUUCCUGUUCAGGUGGUUUUAAAUAGAAGGAAAGA
rnacentral:misc_RNA from 1 species